AGAGUUCUCUUUCAUCAAAGGAACUUCUGUAUGUAUGGAUAUGGUGAAAUAAGCGGGAAAAAUGAAGUAUUGAAAAUGAAGAGGGAGAACAGCAGCUUCCAUGAGUGAGAGAAUCCGACCUUCUAGUAUUUAAUGGAGUAGCACAUAGCCAUUGAAUAAAUCAAUAGAGAAGCAUCCAAGAGGAGUGCAACCGAUGCAGUGACGUUUCAGCCGUUGAGGUUUGCAUUUGAUGGACACAUGCAUUAGGUAGGUGCAAAGACCAAAAUGCCCUUCGCUACAGCUGUAAUACCAAUAAGCUAACAGGUCGAAACUCAAAAAUGGUGACUCUAGUAAAGGAUUUGAAAUUUUCUCAUCUAGACAUGAAGAUGCAUCUGACGGUAAAAGUUUGAUCUUUUUUUCAGUUUUUUCCUCUCAAUUGUCCUGCACAAGUUUUUAUCAUUUUAUAGUACUAUUGUUUGGUUUAAAGAUCAUAUAGGUGCUGGGACAUACUGCUACAGGAUAUGGUAAAAUCAGGUAAUAUGCACUUAAAGAAGUGAUUAAUCAUGGUUGAUGUUUUUCUUUUCAUAUUUGCAGGAAAAAAAAAAAGGAAAAGGAUUUUUACCUGCUAGAUGUAGAGGAAACAAAGUUGAAAUGAGCUUCAAUUCCAAAUGUUAUAUGCUUCCAAUGGAAGCAAAACUCUGCGAAAACAAAUUCAAGAGUAGGAGUUGUUAUUUCCAUAAAACAAUUUCAAGAAUAAUAACUUGGUAUGUGUUGGAUAAAUUGUAAUAGUAGAUAUAGAUUGAAAAGUAUAAUUAGGCAUAUUUUGAGUGUUGCAAGCAUGAUGAUGGUAUUUGCUAAUGGUAUUUUUCUGUUGCAAAAAUAUAAAAGAAGAGCAGAUGAAUGAGAUAUCACGGAUUUAUGUCUCUCUCAAAUACAUGAAGGGUGAAUCAUCCUCCAAUGAGUAUGUUCAAGAUUUUUAUAGUUGGCACGAAUUGGAUGCUUAGGAUCUUUCAUAUGUAGCAAGAUACCUUUUUUACGUAUUCAACUAAAGAGUAGUUGCACUCUGCACAGAAAGCGAUAUUAUCAACCAUGUUUUUCAUACAUGUUUUUUACUAUUGACAAAGCUAUUGUUAAACUUUAAACUUUAAGCUAUUUGGAAUUUUAUAGUUGUUGCCAAAUUUCAGAGCUGUGAUUCAUGAAAAUUACUGGAUAACUAAGGAAACCAAAAAUCUGUAAUCAAAACUUGAGUGAGUGUGACAUCGCAACCAACAAAUUAACCAAAUAAGAGAGCAGCUCUAAAUUCAAAGUUUUAAGUGAGAAUCAAACUUGAGUAAAGAAAACAAAGGACGGUGGUGAAUAAAUUUCUGAUUGCACAACCAACAUCCUACAAUUUUAUACACAUUCCUAAGUAAAAUAAAAUCAGAAGUUCAACCUGCUAAUCCAAGCCAACGAUAGCGGAGAAAUCAUCUAAGCACUCAGCAUAACAUCAAGCUUCAGUAUUCAUCUUUCGACUCAAGUUAACAGAAAUAAUGUUCGAACACAAUAAAAAGAAUGCAUACGGGGAUAAUAAAAGAGAAUAUUUCCGUUUUACUAUCUUAUAAUUUACUAACACCACCAUAGAUAGAAUUUUACCAUAAAUUGCAAGAAAAUACACUAAACUCUUUAAAUUGAAUUACAGAGUAAUUAAGCACAGUAAGAGAAAGUUGAUAAAUCAACUGAGACGACGAACAUGAAAAUAGUGCAUUUACCUUAGGAGAAGUAUCAUCUUGGAAUCCCUAUUUGAAUAAUUCCUCGUCCAGGCAAUUAUCCCACCGCCUUCUCUGCUUUGCUAGGUUUAGAGGAUACCAAAAAUGCAAAAUUCGUUUUUAUAAUCAAAUACAUAGGUAUACCAAUAAAAUAUGCCAAGAAAUCAAAGCAAACAUUAGCACAUAAAACAAAAGUAAAAAACAAAAAUUAAAUAAAGAGGAUGAAAAUAGGAAUUGAACAAAAGAAUAAUUCCAAACAAUAUUGAAUCGAAGAUUGCGCUGGUAUUACCCAAUUUGCACGUGGGCUGAAACUAAUUGACAGAGCAAAUUUCCAAUAAUAUCUUUUCAAUUUUUUGGUUAGCCGUUUGGUAAUCGAUGUUGGAAUGGGACAACAGAAAGUGGGAAUUUUGUUCUAUUGGCAAAUAAUACUGAAUUUUACUUCUGUUGAAUGGAUCAAAUUUGAAAUCAGCAGAAAAUGUGAAUUAUGCUGAAUUUGGAGUACAAUGAAGUGCAGGAGUGCACUAUUUAGCUUUGGUAACCGAUAAUUUAUCAGAUGCAUAGCAAAAAACAUGAGCAAACUUGAGGGAGAUGAAGAUAUCUCUAAGAAGCAACGAAAAAUAUGAAAG
rnacentral:lncRNA from 1 species